rnacentral:rRNA from 1 species
AACGUAGGUGACGAGCGUUAUCCGGAUUUACUGGGCGUAAAGCGCGUGUAGGCGGCUUGGCAAGUCGGGCAUGAAAUCUCUCGGCUCAACCGGGAGAGGCUGUCCGAUACUUCCAGGCUUGAGGGCAGCAGAGGGUGGCGGAAUUCCGCAUGUAGUGGUGAAAUGCGUAGAUAUGCGGAGGAACACCAGUGGCGAAGGCGGCCACCUGGCCUGCUCCUGACGCUCAGACGCGAAAGCUAGGGGAGCGAACGGG